UACAGAGGGUGCGAGCGUUAAUCGGAAUUACUGGGCGUAAAGCGUGCGUAGACGGUAGCGUAAGUCAGAUGUGAAAUCCCCGGGCUUAACCUGGGAACUGCGUUUGAAACUACAAGGCUAGAGUGUGACAGAGGGGGGUGGAAUUCCACGUGUAGCAGUGAAAUGCGUAGAGAUCGGGAGGAACACCCGUGGCGAAGGCGGCCAUCUGGACCAGCACUGACGCUGAGGCACGAAAGCGUGGGGAGCAAACAGG
rnacentral:rRNA from 1 species